GCCGUCUUGAUGUAGAAAAAAUAUACACAGCCGUCCCAUAAUUAAAAAAACUUAUCAUCACACGUUUAAAAAUAUAUAACUCUCAUGGUCCAAGAAAAAGUCAAACGAUCAUGACGCAAUGACCAAACUCUAUCAAUAUUUUACAAAGACAUAUCUCUCCAAACAUAAACAAAAUAUCUCUCCAAACAUAAACAAAAUCUCACGUUCACGUACAUAAAUAAAAUCUAGGCAUAAUCUCUCCAAACAUAAACAAAAUCUCACGUUCACGUACAUAGAUAAAAUCUCUCCGCAUCCAAGCAACCUCUCUUUCCAUCGAGCAAGUGUGGUCAACUCAGCCAUCCGUAAAAUACUUUCCCCAUGCAAUGCUUCGACCAUCUCAAAAAUGCAUUGUCCUUUAGAUUUCAGAGUACCCCUAUUACAUCAUCUUCCUCCGGCAAACAACACUUCGACAACUUCCUCCAACAAGUGGCACUUAAGCAUUGUCUUCCUGCAUCGGUCACCUGCACCCCAGUCUCAUGUCGUCUAUCCUCAAUCAUAAUCGGCUCUGUCAAGAGAUCAGACCAUCUUUAGUAAGUACCAUCUCACAGGAUUAGAUCAUCAUCCUCUACUAUAAUCUAGGAUUGCGGAACGGCAACCAUAGGUCUGAAGUCUAUUAAGAAGCAAAGGGUAAGGAUACUGCAGUAUGAUAUCUACUUGCAGUAUGUAGAUCAGAUAAUGGUCCACAUAAUAUUUGGACUGAAUACCUCAGUAAUUCUGUCUAAAUAAAAUACCUCAUUAAUCAAGUACAAAUGGCAUAAAAAUAACGUGAAAAGUAAGGCAAAAAGUAAUAAAAAUAAUGAAUCUUCACAAACUUGAGCAUUAAUCCGUAACCUGUGGUGGACCAACCAUUGGGACGAGCAGGGCUGGUCGGCCCAGUUCUCAAGCGGCGGAGCAAGAUACUCCCAUCUCCAAAUAUCAGCAGGUUCAUCGUCAUUGAUCUUUGUAGUCAUCCAUGAUCCAUCUCCCCAAAAAAACACAAAUUUGGUUCUACCAUUGUUUGUAAUAAUAUUAUAAUAUCAUCCUCUUGAACUUUAUAUUUUCAUUCUCUAUUGUGCAGGAAUAAACAAUGAAAAGAAAUGGUGGGGCACAUAGCAUGGAAUUUGAGAAACCUGCAAAAGGUUGUUAAAACACAUCAAAUACACAAUCCAACAAGAUGAACCGUUGGGAAUCAAGAAUCUUUUAUAUGUGAUAUCACAAGAAUGUUACAACUAGAAAGACAACAAUUCCAGUUAGGCACAAGAGGUUCCUAAUUGAUUUUUGCUUGGACAAGAAAACAAUAUUUUAACUUAUUAUCUUAUUGAUGCAAAACCAGACAAUCAACAAAAUGGCAAGAUUGGAAAGGAGAAUGAAACUGCAAGAAAAGAUAAAUAGACAGUCUUCGAUCAUACAUGGGGAUGUCCCACACUAGACACUACACAGCCACGCCGAAAGGACAACCUUUUAUCCACUUCAAGUAACAAAAUCUUCACAAAGUUUUACCCUUAUGUGUGUUAUCAACUUAUCAUCACUUUGGUUCUAAACUUUAACACUAAUGAUCUUAUGCUUUGCACAUCAAUUCUGUUGUAGUCCCAUUCAACAGAUAUCUACUGGCCAAAUAUCAAGCACAUAUAAAUGUAGAGGUGUGCAAGAGAUCCUUAUCAAUAAAAUAUCGUUUUUAAAUACAUAAAUAAAGGUGAUGACCAAGCCACGCUUCUAAUUGUUGGAAAAUAGUUCAGUUUGAAUUGCACUUCAGAGAUCCUUACGUCAAAAGAUUGCCUUUCUACAUGGAAAAUGAGCAGCAAGUCAUUUUCUCAGAUUCUACAGAUUUAACAAAGAUCGUAACGAAAGAAAGAGUAGGAAUCACUAAAUGUACACACUAGAUGGAUGUGUGAAGAAGCCAGUGAAUUAACAUAUGCAGAGUCGAUACAUUGUAUAUCUACAACGCAAUCAGACCUAUUUUCAAAUUUCGUUUUGAAUCUUAAUUUGUCUUUGGAAAAUAUUAAAAUUGUAGCUAAUCAUAAGUACACUAAUUAUUUUUAAGUUUGUUGAAUAGGGGUAGAGGGGCCUCACACUGCCAAUGUCAUCCCAAGAGUGGAAAAAAAGUGGAGGGGCCAUAAACAUAUUAACACUACACUGUAAUCUGUAUUUGGCAUUCAUAACUUACUAUCAUCAUUUAGUACCUUUACCAUAAGUCAAUGGAAAGAAAAUCAAGAGCAACGAGUAUACAUGAUGGUAUAAAAACCAUAAAUAGGAACGUUAGUCACUAAAAAGCACUACCUUAUUUAAUUAUAUUAGUUCAAUCAUACAAAGACAAAAAAAGGAUAAGAGGAAGGAGGACAUGUAGGUCAAAAUAUUCAAUGACCAAGCAGGUUGCCUCUGUUGACAACGGAGAAAAUUUUCGGGCUGCCUCGCUUUGGGACAGUGAGGACGCGUCCGAGUAGGCACUUGGGGACAACAUUGUCCCCACCAACCUCACACUCGCACGCGAGAGAAGCUAGCACAUCCCCUACAUGCAUGUCGAUGGCAAAAGCACCGUCAAUUCUGUUAUCAUGGAGGUUGAAAUCGCCCGGCAAAAAAAAACCACCCCCUCUCGCUCGCCCCCGCGUCGCUCCACCUGGGGCGACACGGGCGGCAAACCCUAGCCGCGGCCGCCGGCUUCCCCACCUCUGCCUCUCCCCCUCGUCGCCACCAGAGGGGUCGCCGGUGCGCCGCGCGGCUGCCAAGGAUGGUGGCGGCGAGGAUCUGGUAGCCUCGCUCUCUCUCGAGGUGCCCUGCAUCCAUGGCGGCAGCCAUGGCUGGUGGGCCAGUGCCUGCCUCAGCGGGCGGUGUCCGGCGGUGCUGGCCGUCCUCCUCGGCCGCGGGGGCGGCGAGGGGGCGGCAGGUGGUGGCGGUGGUGCGUUGCCCCUCGGUGGCGGCCGUUUCCGAUCUGUUGGCCUCUCCCCCGACAUCAACGGUGCCCUCCUGCCAGAUCUAGCCUAUGGUGGUCUUCGGCUGCCGGUGUUGUUCGUGCUUGGAGGUUGGAGGUGGGAAGGUACACCGGAGAAAUCCGAGGCCGGCUGGUCCGGCCACGACGGCGGCGACGUCCUUGGACGCCGUUCCCCUUCUUGUUGGCGUCGUCAAGGCUGUUCCUUUCCCCUCCUCUUCACCCUGCUCGUACCGGGUGAAAACCCAGAUCCUUUCCAGAUUGGGCGGCAGCGGCGCUACUGGCGUCGUCACCAUCUUGGGGGUGCCGUCUUUGAUGAGCUUGUGGUGGAGGUGCCGUUCUGGUUGUCUGGUGGUGGUUGGUGGUGUGGCCGGAGCUCGUCGGCCGUUGUCUCCGUGUGGCAGGGUUUCGCCUAUUUGCUCCCUUGGUUGUUCCUGCUCAUUUGUGGAUGGCGGGAGCUCGGUGCUCAUCUCUGCGGACUAGGUGCACCUCGGAGCUCCGGCGCGGCGUCCUCCUUCCACUGCUGCCUGGCCUUCAGCCGCCCUGCUGUGCCAUUGCUUCUCCGCGUGUGCAGAUCCUCGACAGGGCAGAGCUUCUCUUUAAUUUGCUUGACUUGGUAUGGUGUUGGCACUCUAUUUUGGCUUCCGUGGGCAACGGCGCCGGUUCCCACCUUAGUUCUUGGGGGAGCGUCUCCAUCUCUUGACGGAUCGGCGCCCUUCGUGCCAGGGCGAGGGGGCUGGUGCCCCCUUCGAAGAUGGAGGAGGUUGGUACCGUGUCGGCCAGAAUCCUUGGAGCAGACGAGAGUGCCUCUGCACCUAUUAAGUUCUUCAUGCCGACAAGGUCCUGCUGAUGCUUAUGUGUGGUGGUCUGCUCAUGCUGGAGGGCUUCAUCGUCUUCAAGCGGAUUAGGGCCUUAGUUAUCAUAUCUUUGCUUGUUGUGCGUAUGGAGCCUAUUAGUUGUUGGCACAGCACUUUGUAUCUUUCGCUGUUCUUCUUUUUCUGUUUUCCUUGUAAGGUGUCGUUUGUACUCUCCUGGCUGGUUGAUGGCUUUGUUAAUUCAAGUCGGGUUAGGUUCGAGCCUUUCUUGGGCUCGGCCAAGCCUUUCCUCUAAAAAAAAAAUUCUGUUAUCAUGUAUGCGCAGACAUAUGCUUACAUUCUUUCCAAUUUCACUCCCUAAUUAUCAGUAUCUACCUCACUCAACACCUAUGGAGCCCUUAAAAAAAUAAUCACAUUCUUUUUCAAGAUUCCAAGGAAAAAUGAAGAAACAAUUUUCACUAAACAGGCAUGUCCUUAAUUACGUUAUGUUCAAUCACACAAACAAAGGAAACGGUUCUGAAAAAGAAUGAUAGUCAAGGAAAAGGGAAAGAGGGACCUUCGAACUUCAAAUAAUGUCGCCCAUGUGGAGGAUGCGUUUGGCUGGCGCUCUAGGGGCAGAAAACGUUUCCACCAUCCUCAUAAGUACUAAAGAUGGAUCAAAGAUGGCUGCAAGAGACGAAAUCCAUGCCCACAUCACCUGCACGGACGCCGACAGCAACAACACCGCGCAGAUGGAUGAUCUCGCCUACUCCCUUCGCAGCUUGACCUUGGGCCUGCUACCCCUCCAUCGCCGUUUACCAGCCUAGGAGACCGAGAAGGCGUACGUGGAGACAAACCAGCCGUCGUUGAAGGUCAUCCUAUGGCCGGACCAGCGAAUCGAGCUGCGGGGGUGGCUGCAGGAGAGGAUGAGCAAGCUCAUGGCAACGAAUCAAGGAAGCAAGCUGACGGGGAGCUAUCUGGCGGCAGUAAUUUUGGAGUGAACGGAGAGAACAAGGAAGAGAGAAAGGGGAUCUGGCUAGAGCAACAUGCGAGUGUGUGAAGGUGUGAACGUGAAAGAGGAUACAGUAUUUUUUGGGGGGUUCGUAGGAAAAAGGAUGUGUG
rnacentral:lncRNA from 1 species